rnacentral:snRNA from 1 species
UUGCUUCAGCAGCACACAUGCUAAAAUUGGAAUGAUAUGGAGAUUAGCACAGCCUCUGGACCAGGAUGUCAGGGAGAAACAUUCUAUAGUUUU